rnacentral:rRNA from 1 species
GACGAACGCUGGCAGCGUGCCUAAUACAUGCAAGUCGAGCGGACAGAAGGGAGCUUGCUCCCGGAAGUUAGCGGCGGACGGGUGAGUAACACGUGGGCAACCUACCCUGUAGAUCGGGAUAACAUCGAGAAAUCGGUGCUAAUACCGGAUAAUCAUUUGAAGUGCAUGCUUCGAAUGUAAAAGAUGGCUCCGGCUAUCACUACGGGAUGGGCCCGCGGCGCAUUAGCUAGUUGGUAAGGUAAUGGCUUACCAAGGCAACGACGCGUAGCCGAACUGAGUGGGUGAUAGGCCACGCUGGGACUGAGACACGGCCCAGACUCCUAGCGGAGGCAGCAGUAGGGAAUCUUCCGCAAUGGACGAGAGUCUGACGGAGCAACGCCUCGUGAGUGAUGAAGGUUUUCGGAUCGUAAAGCUCUGUUGUUAGGGAAGAACAAGUGCCGUUUGAAUAAGGCGGCACCUUGACGGUACCUAACCAGAAAGCCACGGCUAACUACGUGCCAGCCGCCGCGGUAAUAC